rnacentral:rRNA from 1 species
GAUGAACGCUGACAGAAUGCUUAACACAUGCAAGUCGACUUGGUGGCGGACGGGUGAGUAACGCGUAAGAACUUACCUCACAGUUAGGGACAACAUUUGGAAACGAAUGCUAAUACCUAAUACAGUGAGAGAGCUUUGCGUCCCAUUAGCUAGUUGGAGAGGUAACGGCUUACCAAGGCGAUGAUGGGUAGCCGGCCUGAGAGGAUGAUCCGCCACACUGGAACUGAGACACGGCCCAGACUCCUACGGGAGGCAGCAGUGGGGAAUAUUGCACAAUGGGCGCAAGCCUGAUGCAGCCAUGCCGCGUGUAUGAAGAAGGCCCUAGGGUUGUAAAGUACUUUCAGUCGGGAGGCGUUACCGACAGAAGAAGCACCGGCUAACUCCGUGCCAGCAGCCGCGGUAAUUC